UCAAUUGAUAUUUUGUUCUCUGGAACACUUCUUAUCCAAUCCCUGAGCUCAGAAAGAUUUGGAUUUGGAUUUGGAUGGAGUUCUUUGGAGCCAUGAUCACAUCCACCUCCUCCUUCCCUUCUUCAUCCCUCCUCAGCCUCCACCGCUCCGGCAGCCCUCUCGCUCACCCCCGCCGCCAGCACCUGCGCUUCCCCAGCUGCCGCGCCACCGUCCAGCUGACCUCGGUUCCGGCCUCCGAGCCCAGUCCCACCAACCCCGGUCUCCACGCCAUUGGUCGGAGGGAGGCCUCUCUCGCUCUCGCCGGCCUCCUCUUCACCCGCCUCCUCGACUCACCAGCCCGCGCGGCCGACGAGCAGCCAGGUUCCCCCGGCUGCGCCCUCACCGUCGCCCCCUCCGGCCUCGCCUUCUGCGACCGCGUCGUGGGCAGCGGGCCCGAGGCCACCCAGGGGCAGCUCAUCAAGGCGCAUUACGUAGGGAGGUUAGAGAACGGGACGGUGUUCGACAGCAGCUACAGCCGCGGGCGACCGCUCACGUUCCGCGUCGGCGUCGGCGAGGUCAUCAAAGGAUGGGAUCAGGGCAUCCUCGGCGCCGAAGGAAUCCCGCCAAUGCUUGCUGGUGGCAAACGUACACUUAAGCUUCCUCCGGAGCUUGCCUAUGGCAUCAGAGGUGCAGGCUGCAAAGGAGGUUCUUGUCUCAUUCCUCCAAAUUCCACCCUUCUCUUCGAUGUCGAAUUCAUCGGCAAGGCAUGAGCUCCUGCAGAAAGGAACUAGAAUCAGCUCUAGCAGCUUGAGCAUAUGAAGCAGGCAAGAAGCAUCACCUGUACAAGUACCUUUUGUAACAACCAUUCUUUCUUGAAUGGAGAUAAAGAGGGAGAGGAUUGGUGCAACGAGUAUGUGAACAGGUAUCUGUCAACAGGGAAGGGAAGGAUAUGUUUCUUAUACAGGCUUCCAGACAAGAAAUCCAGAUCGAACCUCCUUAUGCAUAUGUUAUAAGGCAGUUUGGAACCCGAAAUCUUGUACGCAUUCUUAUACAUUUUAAUUUUGUUAAUUACUAGGUAACACAGAACAGCACAAACUUCAUUGGUUA